GUACUGUGCGAACGUUAUUCGGAAUCACUGGGCUUAAAGGGUGCGUAGGCGGCUGGAUAAGUAGGGUGUGAAAUCCCUCGGCUCAACCGAGGAACUGCGCUCUAAACUGUCCGGCUUGAGUGAGAUAGGGGUGUGCGGAACUUCCAGUGGAGCGGUGAAAUGUGUUGAUAUUGGAAGGAACGCCGGUGGCGAAAGCGGCACACUGGGUCUCAACUGACGCUGAGGCACGAAAGCCAGGGUAGCGAACGGGGGAUUAGAUACCCCGGUAGUCCUGGCCGUAAACGUUGAGCACUAGUUGGGAGGGGCUUCGGCCCUCUUCGAACGUAGCGAAAGCAUUAAGUGCUCCGCCUGGGGAGUAUGGUCGCAAGGCUG
rnacentral:rRNA from 1 species